rnacentral:lncRNA from 1 species
GUAAUUACAGCACAAUGUGACACAAAGGAACUAUACAAUUUUAACUGAUGAAAGUAGUUAGAGUUAUUAAAAAGAUGUGGAAAAGACAUUGUUGAGAUAUGAACAAGAUAUGACAUCGUUGAGCUGAAUAGUAAAUAAUACAUAUGUUCCAGCCAUAUAUGAUGGAAAAAGUAUUCCAGAGAUAGUAAACAACAUGCACAAAGAAUGAUUGCAUCAAGCAGCCUGGUGUUAGUUAAUUAAACUGAUGCAACACACAGACAAUAUAAAGAGAGAGGACUUAUGUUAACAUUCAUUCUUUUUGCUUUUAUUUAAUUCAUAUUAAUGUAUAAUUCACAUACCACAAAAUUAAAGACUUAAAAGUGAAAAAAUCAGAGGCAAUUAGUGUAUCACCUCUAUCUGACUCUAAAACAUGUCAAUCAUGAUAAAAUAAAACCCUGUAUUCUCUAAGCCAUUACUUCUCAUUUCUUACUCUGCCUAGUCCCCAAAAACUACCCCUCUGCUUUCUACUUCUACG